GGGCGGUUAGCUCAGUGGUUAGAGCGCUGCGUUGACAUCGCAGAGGUCACUGGUUCAAGUCCAGUAUCGCCCACCA
rnacentral:tRNA from 3 species